rnacentral:rRNA from 1 species
CCCUUAGAUGUUCUGGGCCGCACGCGUGCUACACUGAGUGGAUCAGCGGGUCAGGUUGCGCGAAAGCGUUUCCUAAUCUUUAAAUCCGCUCGUGAUGGGGAUUGACGGUUGCAAUUUUCUGUCAUGAACGAGGAAUACCUUGUAAGCGCGGGUCAUCAUCCCGCGCUGAAUACGUCCCUGCCCUUUGUACACACCGCCCGUCGCACCUACCGAUUGAACGUUCCGGUGAGACCUUGGGAUUUGGUCUUUGAUACUUUAUUGUGUCGUUGACCGAAAAACUUGAGCAAACCUUAACGUUUAGAGGAAGGUGAAGUCGUAACA